GUUUAAAUUAUUACCGAUUUUCCCAUUUUUCCCAUAUUUUCUUUCGGUUUUUAACAUUUACUGGGAAUGCUCUUCGGAAAAUCGAAAGGUGACCUCCCUAAAGUACUUUGCCAGUCAGAUUUACUUUCAGAAAAAGUGCGAUUUUCCCAUUUUUCCCAUAGUUUCUUCGGGUUUUUAACAUUUACUGGGAAUGCUCUUCGGAAAAUCGAAAGGUGACCUCCUUAAAGUACUUUGCCAGUCAGAUUAACUUUCAGAAAAAGUGCUAUUAUUGUAAAUCAGAGCAAAUUUACUGGUAGAAAAGUUGUCUCCUGGAAAAAAGAAGACCGACAAAUUUUUCAACUUAUACCUACAUUUUGUACAUUUUCCAGUUUUUAGUCAGUUUUUUUUU